rnacentral:rRNA from 1 species
UACGAAGGGGGCUAGCGUUGCUCGGAAUCACUGGGCGUAAAGCGCGCGUAGGUGGUUUGUUAAGUUGGAUGUGAAAUCCCCGGGCUCAACCUGGGAACUGCAUCCAAAACUGGCAAGCUAGAGUAUGGUAGAGGGUGGUGGAAUUUCCUGUGUAGCGGUGAGAUGCGUAGAUAUAGGAAGGAACACCAGUGGCGAAGGCGACCACCUGGACUGAUACUGACACUGAGGUGCGAAAGCGUGGGGAGCAAACAGG